GAACGCUGGCGGCGUGCCUAACACAUGCAAGUCGAGCGAGGAGAUCCUUCGGGAUGAUCCUAGCGGCGGACGGGUGAGUAACACGUGGGCAACCUGCCUCAUAGAGGGGAAUAGCCUUCCGAAAGGGAGAUUAAUACCUCAUAACAUUGCAGUUUCGCAUGGAACAGCAAUUAAAGGAGUAAUCCGCUAUGAGAUGGGCCCGCGGCGCAUUAGCUAGUUGGUGAGGUAACGGCUCACCAAGGCGACGAUGCGUAGCCGACCUGAGAGGGUGAUCGGCCACAUUGGGACUGAGACACGGCCCAGACUCCUACGGGAGGCAGCAGUGGGGAAUAUUGCACAAUGGGGGGAAACCCUGAUGCAGCCAACGCCGCGUGAGUGAUGACGGCCUUCGGGUUGUAAAGCUCUGUCUUCAGGGACGAUAAUGACGGUACCUGAGGAGGAAGCCACGGCUAACUACGUGCCAGCAGCUGC
rnacentral:rRNA from 1 species